AGACGAUAAUAAAUGAGCAUGACCACACCUAUUAGGCGACAUGUGUUCUUCUCUUAAUCUUCAUGGCUCUUCAUUCAGUUGGACAAGUCUCAAAAAAUUCAAAACUUGAGUCUCGCGUACAGCAACUGAUGGAUUGGAGUUCUCGUCGUUCAAUCAUCACUCUAUCAUCA